rnacentral:rRNA from 1 species
ACAGGUGGUGCAUGGUUGUCGUCAGCUCGUGUCGUGAGAUGUUGGGUUAAGUCCCGCAACGAGCGCAACCCUUAUUGCUAGUUACCAUCAUUGAGUUGGGGACGUCUAGCGAGACUGCCAGCGAUAAGCUGGAGGAAGGUGGGAUGACGUCAAAUCAUCAUGCCCUUAUGACCUGGGCUACAAACGUGAUACAAUGGCUGGAACAAAGGGAGGCGAAGGGGUGACCUGGAGCGAAACCCAAAAAUACAGUCUCAGUUCGGAUUGAAGUCUGCAACUCGACUUCAUGAAGUCGGAAUCGCUAGUAAUCGCGGAUCAGAACGCCGCGGUGAAUACGUUCUCGGGGUUU